CUACGGGACGCACCAGUAGGGAAUCUUAGACAAUGGGGGAAACCCUGAUCUAGCCAUGCCGCGUGAGUGAUGAAGGCCUUAGGGUUGUAAAGCUCUUUCGCUGGGGAAGAUAAUGACGGUACCCAGUAAAGAAACCACGGCUAACUCCGUGCCAGCAGCCGCGGUAAUACGGAGGGGGUUAGCGUUGUUCGGAAUUACUGGGCGUAAAGCGCGCGUAGGCGGGCUAUUAAGUCAGGGGUGAAAUCCCGGGGCUCAACCCCGGAACUGCCUUUGAUACUGGUAGUCUUGAGUUCGAGAGAGGUGAGUGGAAUUCCGAGUGUAGAGGUGAAAUUCGUAGAUAUUCGGAGGAACAUCAGUGGCGAAGGCGACCCACUGGCUCGAUACUGACGCUGAGGUGCGAAAGUGUGGGGAGCAAACAGGAUUAGAUACCCCAGUAGUC
rnacentral:rRNA from 1 species